UGUAACUCUCGAAUUUCUUGAUACACAUAAUUUGUAACUCUCGAAAUUUUUUUUCUUCAUACGAUCGAGGACUCUCUCUUUUUAGCUUCGUUGUAAUUAGAUAACCAACCUUUUUCUUUUGUUUUUAUGGAAAUUAAAAAAACAUGUCCACACAGUUAGAAGUUAAUUACAUAUUAAAAGACAGCCUAGUUUGUUGUCUAGUGUACCC
rnacentral:lncRNA from 1 species